rfam:TPA: Bos taurus chromosome 11, whole genome shotgun sequence.
UCCCUGGUGGUCCAGUAGUUAAGACUCUGCGCUUCCAAUGCAGGGGGUGCAGGUUCAAUCCCUGGUCAGGGAA